rnacentral:pre_miRNA from 1 species
UUAGAUUUUCUUCAUUUUCUUUUAGAAUUUUUCGGGAUUCUUAUUGUUAAAGGUUGAUGGAAAUGAUAUGAAGAUGAAAAAUAGGAAACU